UCUUCAGCAGUUUCAUUGCAGUUAUUUUUUUCUCACAAAGAAAUACACGUCUUCACAUUUAAGACUCACAAAUUGUUGCUCCCACUUUUCAAAGGAGAUGUGGUGUUUCCAGAUUUAGAAAGACACUUCCAGCUGCCAAGCUCUGUCAGACCCUGCCUUGGCUUAACGAGGAAUGUUUCUGUUUUCCUUAGGCAAAGAAAAAAAAGCAAAGCACCCAAAUUAUUUAAGUAUCUUUCAGUUUAGUUUAGUGGCCAAGAAACGCAGUUAUGUGAAAAUCUGGAGGAGGAGCUUGGGUUGAGGACUUGGACUCAACUGUCAAAUGCUGUGCCUGGCUUUGCGCAGACUGGCGAAGCUUCUGAGCCUCUUUCCUUGCUGGGAUAAUGGGGAGGUUGAACUAUAGGGUUUUUGGAGUCUUUUCUAGUUCUAAAGUUCUAUGAUUUGAUAUAUUAGUCUCCUCUACUGUUACCAAAGUUUUUGUAUGUGUAUACCCUCUCCAAAGGAGGGGUAGUAUGUCUUAUUGUAAGGAAGUCACCAGGGACAAUGGGAAUGUGUUGUUAGACGAUUUUUCACUCUCUGUUGAGGCCAUGAGGGAUGACAAGUGGUUAAUACUGGGACAGGAAAUGCAGCAGGCUUGGACCAGGAAGUCAGGGACUUCCUCUCCUCUCUGGGAACCUAAUCUGAUUGCUCAUGGAAGAAGCCUGACUUUGGGUGUCUUUUGUGGCUACUCUGGAACAUCUACUGACCUGAUCACACAAGUUCCAUGGCAUUCCUCAGCAGGGGAGGAUUUUUGGUAUGUGGACAUUUCCCUGAAGAUCUGUAAUACUGGUGUCUGAGGCACUGGACGUUGACGACGCACUGCGAGAGAGGAGUGCUCUCAUCCUCCUUGCACUCUCAGAAACUACUGCCAACUGGGCAGUGAACCUCGGACUCAAUGGUGAUUCCCUAAGACAUAGGGCUGGUACUGGACUGCUGGCUUUGGUGGCAAGGUGGCCACAAUCUCAAUCUCAACUCUUUCUGCCUUGGACCUCAGCUACUGUUGCAGUUCUUUUGGCUGAAGAAUUUGACGGACUCCCUGUUUUCAACUGUUCUACAGUGAAACCACAGCUGCAACAAUGGUGGUAGAGAAUGGUUUCUUCUGGCAGACAAAGGGAUUUUCUUUGAAGUGAUUUAGGUCUUCAGAUUCAGAAUGGAACUUACACUACUGGUUUUCCUGGGUCUCCCCCUUGCAGACGGCAGAUAUUGAGACAGCUUCCAUAUCAGCUCACCAACCCCGCAUCAGAGGCCACGAGCAGAGCUUUGUGUGUUCUGGAAAACCUUAGCCAAGGAAGCAGCACCUGGGAACUGAGAGGGGUCAGGACUCUUGGGGACUGGAGGAGAGAAGGCCUGCACGCUCCCGCAGCUCACCAACACCUGCAUAAGCCAUCGAACUGAACACACUGACUUAGCAGCCUCUCUUCGAGUCCAAGGAGGAAGAAGGGAAGUCAGCACAAACAUGAAUAAGCCUUCAAGGACAAGAGGUCAGCUGACUUCCCAAAGACAUGUGGGUCACGCCAGAUCUCCUUAGCUUGGCACUCUGUACCCGCCCACCAGCUAACCCUAAAUCUCCCUAGUUCCAGUCACUGUGCUCCCCCCUCCACGCCAGCGGGCGCGACCCUCCACCCCCAGCGUUUUGAUCCUGUGAUCCACUUCUCAUCGAAAUGCCCUUGGCCUCUCUGAAACUUUUCUGCUUUUUCAGUUUAGUUUCGGUCCAUCUCCUCCAGGAAGUCUUCCCUGUUCCACCAGCUGGCAGCAGGCACCACUCGGCUGAGCUCCAGCCUGACCCACCUGCUUCCUAGCAUGUCCACCCCUAAAGCAUCCUUUCAGUAUUUUCCUUCAAGAGCCACCAUGUUUGGAAGGAUUUAGCCUACUGAUCACAUUUACGUGGCAAGUAAAUUUAUCUACCACUUACUUAACCGUGGUAAACCAAUCAACCACAUAUUUCCCCAGUUUUGUUACUCAAAGAAGAAUCUAGUCUCUCAGGGAGUUCUUCCCUGCUUGACCAUCCUUGGAGUGUUCCUGGUGCCAAAAUCACCUCUCAACUCUUCUUACCCUUUUGCUUCAUGCUAAGUGUUAGGAAAGCAUUUUAAUCAUAAAUAUCACUAUUAUUUGACAUCAUAUUGAAAAUAGUCGUUUCUAUAUUCUCUAGUAAAUGAGAACGAAUGGAUUAUUUUCAGAAAAAUUCUUACCAAAACUGACUCAGAAAGAGGUUUGUAGAAACCCAAACCAUGGAGGAAAUUGACAAUGAUGCAAAAACUACCCAGGUCCAGAUCAUUUAACAAGUUAGUUAUUUUAAACCUUUAAGGGAAGAGAUGCUUCUGAUGUUAUUAAAUUCAUCUGGGGCAUAGAGGAAAAAGCUUCCUCCUUAUUUUAUGAAGCCAACAUAUCAUUGGUACCAAAACUUCAUAGAGAUCACACAUAUGCAUCAUGCACCUCAUACAAGCAUUGCCCCUCCACAUACACACACACACACACACACACUGCUCACACUACACACAGUACACAUACCCGCACACCACACACACACUGUACAAACAUACCACAUCUGCACACCACACACCAUUCAUACACACACACAUUUCAUACUCUACACAAAUACAAACGUGCUUCCCACACAUACACUAUGCACACGUACACCACCCACACACUACACAUCCCACACCACACAGACUCACAUCAUACCUACGCCACUCAUGUCACCCCCCCACAUACACUAGGGUAUUCUCACUUUUAAACAUGAUGUAAAAAUCCUAAUUAAAAUAUUAACAAAUAGAAUCCAGUAGUCCAUUAAAAAAAUACACUGUGACAUAGUGGGGCUCAUUUCAGGGUGAUUCGAUUUUAGAAAAAUCUAUUAGUGCAAUUCACCCUAUUAAUAAUCAAAGGAGAAAAGGUAUGAUUACCUUCAAAGAUACAGAAAAGGAAUGUAAUAAAAUUGAACAUUCAUUUAUAGUAAAAUAAUAAUAAUAACAAGAGCUAACAUUUGUUUUGCCCUUGUUCUGUGCUGGGCACUGUCUGACAAGCUUUGUAUGCAUUUUCUCAGUUAGUCCUCACCCUCACCCGAUGAUGAAAGUACUAUCUAUCACCCUCAUUUUAUAGAUAAGGAAACUAAAGCUUAGCAAGGUUAAGGAUCUUGCCUCAGGUCACACAGCUAGGAAUUGGGCUGUAGAUAGCUAGUAAGUGGCUUAUUCUUAACCACUGCGUCAAAAUAGGAAUAUAGGAAUACUGCCAUAAUACAAUAGACAUAUGUAUCCCAAAUCAUAAGCAAUAUCAGGAGUAACAGGAAAACAUUGGGAACAGUUCCAUUAAAAUCAGGAAUAAGACAAGUGUGUCCAUUAUCACUGUUAUCUAACAUUUUUCUGGAAGAGCUAGCCAGUGCAAUUAGAUAAGAGAGCCAAUAAAAGUAUAAAUAUUGUAAGAAAGAAGGUGAAAUUCUACUUACUGCAGAUGAAAUGACAAUGUAACUGAAACCCCAAGAGAACCAACUGAAAAGCCAUUAGAAACAAUAUGAGAAUUCAGACAGGUAGCCAGUCACAUAGCUCAUGUUGAAAAAAAAAAAUCAAUAACUUUCCUGAAGGGAAACAGCAACCAGGUAGAAAAUUCAAUAGAAGAAAAGAUCUCAUUCACAACAGCAAUGAAAAAGUGAAAUACUUAAGAAUAAAUUAACAAAAUGGUACAUAUCAUACUAUAUGAAGAAAAAGAUACAACGCUGAGAGACAGAAAAGAAGAAUUCAUCAAGAAACAGUUCCUUUUUUUUUGAGAUUAGCCCUGAGCUAACAUCUGCCGCCAACC